GAUGAACGCUAGCGGCAGGCCUAACACAUGCAAGUCGAGGGGUAACAGAAGAGAGCUUGCUUUUUUGCUGACGACCGGCGCACGGGUGCGUAACGCGUAUGCAACUUACCCUUUACUGGAGGAUAGCCCGGAGAAAUUCGGAUUAACACUCCAUAGUAUUUUAUUAUUGCAUGAUAAUACUAUUAAAGUUUACGGUAAAGGAUGGGCAUGCGUCCUAUUAGCUAGAUGGUAAGGUAACGGCUUACCAUGGCUACGAUAGGUAGGGGGCCUGAGAGGGUGAUCCCCCACACUGGUACUGAGACACGGACCAGACUCCUACGGGAGGCAGCAGUGAGGAAUAUUGGGCAAUGGAGGGAACUCUGACCCAGCCAUGCCGCGUGCAGGAAGACGGUCCUACGGAUUGUAAACUGCUUUUAUUUGUGAAUAAACCUUUCUACGUGUAGAGAGCUGAAUGUAGCAAAUGAAUAAGCACCGGCUAACUCCG
rnacentral:rRNA from 1 species